GCAGUCUGAGUCCCCAGUGCCUGGCGUGGGUGAGCUCAGGGCUGCUCCGUGUGGGGGCAUCCAGGCCUGGUUGCUGAUGCCCUGUGGCUGAGGACACCUCCAUCUGCAUGAGCCAGUUUGGAGGUCCAGCUUGCCCCCCAGGCAGUGGAGGCCAGUAAGGGCUUCUCCCCAGAUUGACCGCUCAGAUCGAAUUGGUCCAGGUGUUGAGCCAGAAUUGGCCCCAUUUUCUGCUAAUUUCCAUUCCCUGAUUGUGCUGCCUGCUACAGGAGUGAUUUUGGAUUUGGGCUGACCUGGUAGACUUCUGAAAGACAGUGCUCUGGGUUCAAGUUGUCCUCAGGUGGAUGAUCCAUAGCAAAUAUCCCCUGAUGGAUAAGCAUGGUGCUGAGAGACUUGCCUCCAUCAGCUGUGUAAGCCUCAGGGUGACCUGCACACAGGUAUACUAAGGCACACAGAGACCAGCUCGUAGUCAGUGACAAGUAACUUGCCAAGA
rnacentral:lncRNA from 1 species